rnacentral:miRNA from 1 species
CGGGGCUGAGAGGUGAGGAAGC